rnacentral:rRNA from 1 species
AUGCUGAACUUCGUCAAGCAAUAUGAAAAAAUCCAGAACCACAUCCUUACCAAGGAAGGCUGCAAUGAUUACAGGACAGAACACCUUGAGAUUGAGCUGUGGUCCAACUUCCCAAUAGAGAAGCAAGCUUACAAAACCUAUACUAGGGACCUUUACCGCAUGUUCAGAGAAGAGUUUGAGCUGAUUGGACGUUAUAAUGCAUUCCAAGUUGGUGCUGAUAUAUUUGAGCUCAUACCGAGCCAGGAAUUUGUUGCCAAAUAUGGUUCUCGAAACUACUUGGUGCAUGCAAGGGUGGAGGAGGGUUCCUAUUUGUGUGAGUGUUGUAGAAUGGACAAGGACGGCAUCCUCUGUUGCCACAUCCUCAAGGUGUUCACCCAUAUUGGAGUGGAUGUCAUACCGGAAAGGUACCUGCUAAGACGGUGGACACCUACUGCUGUACCUAGUGCGCCAGGGACUGGUUAUGAGCAACCGGAUGAAAUGCCUCCUCAAUCAAAGAAGCAGAUAAGGGAGAGGAACAUGAUAUACGAUUUUCGGAAACUAGCAAAGUUUGCGAGUGGUUCUGAUCCAGCACAAGCUAUUGUAUACAAGCAUAUGCGCGCAGCACGUACCGAGAUCGGCCACCUGAACAAGUCCAAGAAAAAGAAAAAACCAACUACUGCCACGGGGCCAUCAGAUGAUGGCAACCCUCGAGGACCUCCUCCACCUCCAGGCAGCAAUCAGGGGGCUCAUUAUCUAGGUGAUGUCAACCCUCAAGGACCUCUUCCAUCUCCUGGCUGUACACGGCAUCCUCUGCCACCUCCUCCCCCGCGUGCUCCUCCCAGUGGCCCUACAGGCAGCACUCAGGGGGCUCAUCGUCCAGGUGAUACCAACCCUCAAAGACCUCCUCCCCCGCCUGGCCCAACUAGCAGUGCCCUGCGUGCUACUCCCAAUGGACCUACAGGCAGGACUCAGGGGGCUCAUCACCCAGGUGAUCGUGAUGGUCCUACUGCCCCGUUGGAGGCUGCAUCCCCUGCACAAGCUUCUGAUGAUUUUGUGCCCAGGGAUCCUCCAAGGUCUACUACAAAGGGUAGGGCAAAGAGUCGAUGGUACAAAUCGGCGCUGGAGCUACACCCAAAGAAGAAAAACAAAUGCAACCAGUACCAAUCUACAGAGCACACUGCUGGUGUGUGUCCACUCGGGCUACUGUGA